GACGAACGCUGGCGGCGUGCCUAAUACAUGCAAGUCGAACGCAGUGGGGACGGGUGAGUAACACGUGGGUAACCUCCCAUCAGAGGGGAUAACACUUGGAAACAGGUGCUAAACCGAUACUGAUGGAUGGACCCGCGGUGCAUUAGCUAGUGGGUGAGGUAACGGCACACCAAGGCCACGAUGCAUAGCCGACCUGAGGGGAUGAAGGGCAACACAGAGACGGAGACACGGACCAGAAUCCGGCGGGAGGAAGCAGUAGGGAAUCUUCGGCAAUGGGCGAAAUUCAGACCGAGCAACGCCACGUGUGUGAAGAGGGUUGUCGGAUCGUAAAACUCUAUUGUUAGAGAAGCGGUAUCUAACCAGAAGGCGACGGCUAACGACGUGCCAGCCGCCGAGAUAAUA
rnacentral:rRNA from 1 species